UGGAGCGUGUGGUUUAAUUCGAUGCUACACGAAGAACCUUACCAGGGUUUGACAUGUAAGUGGUAGGGAAGCGAAAGCAGACCGACCCUUCGGGGAGCUUGCACAGGUGCUGCAUGGCUGUCGUCAGCCCGUGUCGUGAGAUGUUCGGUUAAGUCCGCUAACGAGCGCAACCCUCGCUGUAUGUUACAAGUGUCAUACGGUACUGCCGGUCUCAAACCGGAGGAAGGUGGGGAUGACGUCAAGUCAGCAUGGCCUUUAUAUCUUGGGCA
rnacentral:rRNA from 1 species